UUGCAAUGAUGUCUGAAUUUCUUCGACUGAAUCCUCUUUGUUGAUCAAAACUUACGAGCUUUUUAACCCUGAGCAAU